UGGCGGCGAGUGGCGCACGGGUGAGUAAUACAUCGGAACGUGUCUUCUAGUGGGGGAUAACUGCCCGAAAGGGCAGCUAAUACCGCAUGAGACCUGAGGGUGAAAGCGGGGGAUCGCAAGACCUCGCGCUGGAAGAGCGGCCGAUGUCCGAUUAGCUAGUUGGUGAGGUAAAGGCUCACCAAGGCGACGAUCGGUAGCUGGUCUGAGAGGACGACCAGCCACACUGGGACUGAGACACGGCCCAGACUCC
rnacentral:rRNA from 1 species